GUCUCACAGUUUGAUCCUGGCUCAGAGCGAACGCUGGCGGCAGGCUUAACACAUGCAAGUCGAACGGGCGUAGCAAUACGUCAGUGGCAGACGGGUGAGUAACGCGUGGGAACAUACCUCUUGGUUCGGAACAACACAGGGAAACUUGUGCUAAUACCGGAUAAGCCCUUACGGGGAAAGAUUUAUCGCCGAGAGAUUGGCCCGCGUCUGAUUAGCUAGUUGGUGGGGUAAAGGCCUACCAAGGCGACGAUCAGUAGCUGGUCUGAGAGGAUGAUCAGCCACAUUGGGACUGAGACACGGCCCAAACUCC
rnacentral:rRNA from 1 species